rnacentral:lncRNA from 1 species
AUGGGCCCACUCCUAAAAUUACCAAGAUCAAACAUAUAUAAGUCAUCAUAAAGAUCUUCAGCGUCAGUAAAACCUCCAAAUACAAGCAAGUUCUUGCCCAAUGCAACGGUUGUAUGACCAGCUCUAGGUGGCAAUAGCUCGACAUUGGUUAUCAACUUUGUCCAGGUAAGCGUAUCUACAAAAAAGAAGAUGAAGAAGAAAGUUGAUAUUAAUAGGUAAAUUCAGGUCAAUUAUAAGUCUUGGUCAACAAAGUCAAACUUGAGACCUGUAUCAAGCAUCUGAACAUCGGAUAUAUAAUAGUUCUGGGACUGAUCACCGAUAUUAACUGCAUAGUGAUAGUACCUAACAUAUCUAUAGCGCGGUUCUUCUUCGCGACAUUUGUAAGCCGUUUAAAAACCAAACCGAUUUUAAAAACCAGUUAAAACCGAUUUUUGGCCCAAACCGGUUUUAAAACCGAAACGAAUUCACCAAACAUAUCUAUACACUUCACUUAAAAAAUCAGUUGCUCUUAAUGCACACAAACUACCACAUGGGCAUACCUUAUUCGAAAUCGAAACAACUUGUUUUGGAACCAUAAUCGGAAAAAAACCCGAAACCGGUUUUUUAAACUGUUUUUUUAAAACGGUUUUAGGACCGAACCGAACCAGCAGUUUAUGAC